CACACACAUAUAUGUAUUCUUUUUACAUUUUCUUUGAAAAUUAUUUCAAAUUUAUAAAAAUUGCAAAAAUUAGUACAAAUGAUAUUCGUCUACCUUGGAUCCGGAUUUUCCUAUGAACGUUUUACCUCAUUUGCUUUAUCAGUCCUCCCUUCCCAGCCCCCCGCCCCGUGUGUGUGUCUAUAUUUAGAUUUUUCCUGAACUAUUUGAAGGUAAGUUACAAAUAUCACUCUUUUCCACAUGAAUACCUUAUUGUGUGUUUUCCAAAAAGUGGGGACCAGAUGCCAUUUCCUGUCACUUGUGCUCUUCUCAGCAAGUGACUAACAUGCCAGCGGGUGACUCACUCAUGUCAUCGUGCUGGAAAGGCGGUGGACUCUAGAGGGGGAGUCUGUCCCUUCUCUGUGCUCUGCUCUUGUCCUGUGACAACCUGGCACCCUAGUGGAAUGCGGGAUGGGGGUAGAUGGUGGUGCACUGGGAGCUGAGCUGGAGGUGCCCUCUCUAGAUCGUCACACUGUGUCAGCUAGCUCCAUAACAGUGCCUGGGCCCAUCCCCACGGUAGAUCCACUUCUGCUGUGUGGGAGAGAUGCAGCCCACUCCCCGAGGAGCGCCGGGCUCCUGCAGCAGAGGUGCGGAGCACGUGGGAGUCACUUGUGCCCACUGGAUUCCAGAGGUAUCUUCCUGUCUGUAUGCAGGGACUUCUGCAAGUUCAUGGACAAGGCGAGUCGGAAUAUGAACAUUUUUGUUCAUAUGCAUUUUCAACACACAUGCAGAAGACCUCCUAUUUCAGCAUUUGGAGGACAUAACAGGACAUGAUUUCUCUCCUGCUUUAACUUUCUGACUUGGAGUUGAAACAUGUUGGCAUAUAAGUUGAGGUCCCAUAUUGAGCAGCUUGGAAGGCACUGCAUAGUGCGGAGAGAAAUCCCGGGUCUGGGACUGAGAGUGUGUGUGACUGCUAAUCCCCCUCCACCCUUCCCUACCUGUGAUGAUGGGCAGACAUCUCUGCAGGUGGUUUUCCCUUCAUGAUAGUUUACACUCCGAGUCGGAGGGGCUGGACAUCUUCCUGGCUGGAACCCGGGGAUGUGCACGUGCAGAGCAGCGUCGCAGUGAGUAAUGCUCACAGACCCAGGGCGCCGAGAGCUUCAUUCUGUCCGGGCUCGUCCUGUUUCUGUCACUGCCCUCCAGGAACUCCAGAUCCAUGCGAUCUGUUUCUGGGGGUUCUGCACCCAUAGAUGGAAUCCCCAGCUGUUGCUCCAGGCCACACUGAUGGUUAUGAAAGGGGGAAGAGGCAACUCCUUGAAAGAUUGCUGCUCAAGAAGUUUAUCUAUUUUUCUUUUCACUUGCCUCUGAUGCUGACAUUUCUUACGCGUAAUCUAGAGACGAUUUAAAAUCUGGGGGGGCGGGGUGCGUGUGGGCGCUGUGUGAAUGCCACAUCAUUUUGUGUGAAGGGCCUGAGCACCCACAGAUGUUCGUGUCUGCGGGACAUCCUGGGGCCAGUCCCCAUGGAUGCCAAGAGACAACUGUACUUCAUGUGAAGGGGACUCGGAAUAUGGGGUGGAAAUAUGGGAGGCCGACUCCCUCAGUCCUGUUUGUAGAGUGUUGAACGUUCUGUUUUGGUUUAGUUAUUAAACAGAUCCUGGGACCCUGGUCAUUCCCGGGUCUGUUUGACUCCUAGGCACAGGGCCUCUGUCUCACCUGCCGUGUCCUCUCUCGUGUGCUGCUGCUGGCCAGGCAGGAGGUGACACGAAGUAAUUGGUCACUACAUAAAUUGUGUCUCUCUCUCGUUUGUUUCCCACCUGCUUUCCGAGCCCCUUUCUCGGACAGGCCUCUGGCCCUGAGGCAGGAGUCGUCCUGAGUGUGGAGGUCAUUUGAGCCAUCAGCAGGCAGAGGGCUCACCGGGUCCCCUCAGAUGACAUGGAGAUGGAGGAAGCCACAGCCACGGAAGGGCAGUUCCUCCUGGUCCUACCUCAACAGCCCCCGCAGAGCACUCCUCAGAGGGGCUUCUGAGUGGCUUUUGUAAAUGGAAAACGACUUGCAGCAGUUUUUCUAAAACGUCAGCCCAUCCUGCAAUCAAUUUGUAAAAAUUCAUGUAAAAGUCAACUUGGAUUAAACUAACUUAUUCAGUGACUGCCGUUGUGCAAGGCCCCGAGCGAGGCGUCCGAGAAGAUAAAAAGCACUUACAGUGCCAUGGCCCCUUGGGGACCACCCCUUUAUGACAGAGACAAGGCAUGUUAGUGAGAGAGAUGGAGACGGUGGUAAAGAGAGCAUGUGACAGGCUGUGUUUAGGUCGCUCAAGAAUUCAGUGUGUUUUAUAGACUACGCUGCGAAGGGUGGCGAGAAAGAAGCAGGGGGAAUCAAUCCAU